GGAUAACUACGUGAGCAGGUGUAUGUACCUGGUAGUAUGGUAUUGAACCUGACAAUCCGUAUAGGUUUUUUAGUAGUAACUGUAACCUGAAUGGAUAAAACCGUAUGGCAUAAGGAAAUAUGACAUAGACCAAGCUUAUCUUAAUACGUACAGUAUAUGUGAAAAGUAAAGUGCCAUGAUGUGUAAAUAUUAAACAUCGUAGCCAUACUGGUUAAAUAUGUAUAAAUCUUAACCCAUUAAGUGCCGUAUGUACAAGUGAAAAUGUGGUCUGUCCCCACCUUGUAUGUUGUAUGUCCCCUUGUUAGGGGAAGUCUGUUGCGGGAGCAGCGUGCUGUGAAAAAUGUAUGUGAACUAUAUUACCAGUUACAUAUAUACAGAUGCGUCUGCUACUGUGUAAUAAUAUAUGUAUUUAUUCAUACCAGAUGUUGAUAUAGUGCUUACUAUGUGAAUUGUUGUAUGUCUUAUUGAAUGGUAGGGGUCAGUGAACAUGGUGUUGCAAAAUGCAAGUGCACUGGAGAUCUGCCGAGUGCCCUAUAAGUGGCAGUGUAGUUGGAUACUGAUUGGUAUGUGAAAUGUUGUUUGUCUGUUGACCUAUAGGUGCCAGUGUUUUGGUGUUUGUAAAACCCCAUGAAAAUUGUCAAUGUACUUGACAGACCUGUAG